CACGUAGGGGGCAAGCGUUGUCCGGAUUUAUUGGGCGUAAAGAGCGUGUAGGCGGUUUGGUAGGUCCGUUGUGAAAACUCGAGGCUCAACCUCGAGACGCCGAUGGAAACCAUCAGACUAGAGUCCGGAAGAGGAGAGUGGAAUUCCUGGUGUAGCGGUGAAAUGCGCAGAUAUCAGGAAGAACACCCGUGGCGAAGGCGGCUGUCUAGGACGGUACUGACGCUGAGACGCGAAAGCGUGGGGAGCGAACAGG
rnacentral:rRNA from 1 species